CGCAAUCCCAUGGGACACAACGAGGACGUUGUGUCUGCAUGGGGGGGUGUUUGUGAUGUCCCACAUCGGAUAGGGGAGAAUGUUCCUGGCGCUAUA